AUGUUUGCUGCCUUCCGGCACGCGAAUGGCUCCUUCGCCCUUGGCCGGAACGCGCAGCUCAUCGACGGCUACAUGGCACAGCUGCAAGAAAUGGAGGCGGUGCUGGUUCAAAGGCGGAAGGAGGAGAAUCAAGAAAAGAACCACGAACAAUCUUCAGGGGGUGAAGAAGAGGCGGUGUGGGAGCUCCUGGCGGAGUUCUGGUCAGAGAUGAUACUCUACCUCGCGCCGUCGGACAACGUCAAGGGCCACGUUGAGGCACUGCAGCGUGGCGGUGAGCUCAUUACGCUGCUGUGGGCACUGCUCCUGCACGCCAGCAUCACCACCAGGCCUGCUCCCACCGUCCCCGAGCCUUGA
rnacentral:rRNA from 1 species